UAAGGACACUUCUUCGGAAGACCCUCUUUGCCAGUGCUGUUGGUGCCUGCAGCAUAUUUUGGGUUGUUCCAUCCAGUUCUUCAGUGAAAUGGCCAUUAAGGGAGCUGGAAAUACCACCUUGGUGAGGCUGUUCCAUCAUGAACUUGAGCAGGAUCAGGGACAUCUGAUCCUAAGUCAAAGUCAGAAGACCAGCAUAAAACCCCAGAUGCGUUAUUGACAACGCUCCAGGCAGGAAGGUUUUGAAGACUAACAGAUGUGCACUGGAGCUUGCCACACAGACUAUGCCUGUAUUGAAUGAAAGACACUCAGAAACAAGGAUGUCCUUAGUGAUACUCCCACCAGUUUGAGGGCCAUGAACAUGAAGGCAAAACCCACCUGCUGUGACACCAUGCCCAAGCAAGAGCUCUGGAGACCCUUGGCUGCUGGGAUGGACUGAGGAGGUGGCUUGGACUGAAGCUCUCAAGAGAGAAACAGAAAUGUAUUUACCCUCAAAAGCUUCUCCCUGCUAGAGGUACUGUUUGAAACAAAGGUGUAUUUCACAGCCUGCUUCACAAACGACUCCUCGUGAUGAAGGCUGCUGUUCAGCACACCACACCGGAAGGGGAUAUCCUGCAUAUCUUCUGACUGGUAAAACACAUGCUCAAAAGUGCUGGAUGCGUUGAGUGGCUCCAUUCCAUACCAUUUACCACCAAUGUAGAGAAUUCCUCUAAUAAUGAUAAAAGAAUGAAUAAUUAUUCCACAGGUGUUCCCUCGUGGUUAUGACUAGAUGAUUGAAUGACAGCUGGAUACUUAGAAACUAGAACUGUUCAUACCACUUGGUUGAAAUGAAUUAUUAUCUUACAUUAUCUUAAUAUAGGGUGUAAGUUCAAACGACUGAAAGGGUCUCUUUUAGUCCUUAUCUCUAGUCUCACUCCUAGCCCCAUGCAGCUAAAGUAACCUAGUAUUUUAGAAAAAGAUAUUUUCUAAGACACAGAGAGAGGCUAAAAGCAAUCACCAGGGUGUUUGUGAGGGCAACAGCAGUAUUGCACUGCUGAGUGCAUUUGUCCAUGGCUCAUAAACACCCGGUCUGUGCCCAUUUGCUGUUCUUUUAGAGCCUAUUAUCUUGCUUUCCACAAUCUCAAACUAUAUUUAGAACAAGAAUUCUCUAGUUAAUAUCUUGUGAAAGAAGAUCUUCAAAAAUGUGAGUACGAAGUAGUCAAAGGAUUUGAGUCUGAUUAAGUUUUGCAGAACAGUCAAAAUGGAGUAUCUGUUCUGCUUACUUAGAUCCGGCAUUACCUGAAACACCAGUAUGUUGGCCAUUUUAUUCUUCAGUUAAAGGAAUGCCAGAAGUGUCAUUAUUUGUUGUGAGUGGCAUCUCACUGUGAUAUUAUCAAUGAAAGAUAUGUGGGUGAUCUUUAUCCUGUUUUCCUCUUUCUCCUUGUCAAAAAGAUAUCAAACUGAACAAGGCUACUACAUGCAACAGGUAUAUCCAAAGUCCAGCUAAAAAGCCCAGCUCAGUGAACACCAGGGAGCAUGGACACACUCUAAGCACAUUCUGAGUAUCUGCACCAUGUGGUGUGUGUGCCAUCUCAUUUUAUCAACUCGUGGACUGAUUCUGCAGGGAGAAACGAUUGCCCUUUAUGCAUUAAUCUGGUCCCUGUAUGUUUCUCCAAUUAAUGUAAUUUUAUUGGUUUUGAAACACAAACUGAGGAAAGGCUGAGAGAGCUGGGUUUGUUCAGCCUCCAGAAAAGAGGCCUCAGGGGAGACCUUGUCACCAUGUUCCAGUAUGUAAAGGGUGGCUACAAAAAAGAUGGAGACUCCUUUGUUACAAGAAGUCACAUGGAAAAGACAAGAGGUGAUGGGCACAAGUUACUCCGGGGGAGCUUCUGACUGGACAAGAGAGCAAAGUUCUUCACCAUGAGAACAACCAGCCAUUGGAAUAAUCUCCCCAGGGAAGUGGUGGAUUCACCAACAUUGGACACUUAAGAUUCAGCUGGACAGGGUGCUGGGACAUCUAGUCUAGGUCAUGCUCAUGCCAAGAAAUGUUGGACCAGAUGAUUCCUAACAUCCCUUCCAACCUGGGAUUCUAUGGUAUGAUCGAGUGUCUUAAGUUCAGUGAAAGCUCCAUCAGAUUGUUUUUCUUCUACAAAGGUGUCUCUCGUCAAGACAUUUGCAUCACGUAAUAGAGGCUUCAGCUCAUGCCUGUGUUUUGCUUAUGUUUAGAUUAUGCUCUCUCACUUUAUCCUUUCUCUGUGAAGGAAUUUUGGGAAAAGGGAAAAAAGGUGUAGCUGAGGGAAACUAUAAAACCUGUAAAGAGCUUCAGCUUCAUCAAAAGGUGAAAUAUUGAAAGUAUUUUAAAAGAUUUGCAAGAUAGGAUGGUGUUUUUCAGCUGUAUGAUGAAUUUUACUGUUUUACAUUGGUACUGCACAAUGAAUUACCCUGAAGUAACAAGCAAAAGUUAAUACCUAAGGCCAUCGCAUGUGCUAAGAGCAAGCACCGAGUCAGCAAUUCCUUCAACAGUGCCAUGGUAAUAACAGUGUGUCUGAAAUGCAACAAAACCAUGUGAUUAAUGACAAAAUAAAGUUGUUGCCUUCAAAUGCAAAGUCAUUUUCUAACUAACCUUUGUAUUUGCAUGACAUUAAGUCUGGCUGUUACGGAUUUAGAGAGUUCAUUGUUCUAGAAGUAAUCCCAGCCUUCUCGGAGUAAAAUAUGACUUGACAUGAGUACCUGCAACAGGUCCCUUGCUUCUCACAACCAGCUUUUUAGUUUAACCAUCACCAUCUUUUAGCAGAAUCUUUUCACCUACAUUGCUCACCCUGUUCUUUAACAGACUGUUCUCAAAGGCUGAUAUGAGAUCUCCCGUCCACAAAGCACCCCAUGAAGUCCUGCUGAGUUCACAUACAGUUUAAAGUUGAAAUGAAAUACAGAAGUAUUUAUAAGGCUUGUUUGGCACCAAAAAACUACAAAGCUUUGAUGCUGCUGUUGUAUCUUUAAUAGCAUACUUAUGCAAAGGCGACCUUAUCAGGCAGCUCAAAUUCAGUCUUGGCACAAUCUCCUGGCAUCUCCUUUCACACCUUGGAAAACAGUGAUGUAUAUCACCAUAAACAGCCCACUCCCUCAUAAAACACCAAACCUCAUGUUUUGUAUCAAUGGUAACCAUUAAACAGAAAUGCUACAAAUGCGAAGACUCACAAAAACCUCUUUCCAGACAAAUGUAUUUUCCUUUUGUAGAUGCUU